rnacentral:rRNA from 1 species
GAUGAACGCUGGCGGCGUGCUUAACACAUGCAAGUCGAACGGAGUUAUAUUUUUGGUAGCUUCGGUGAAAGAAGAUAUAACUUAGUGGCGGACGGGUGAGUAACGCGUGGGUAACCGUGCCGUAUACAGGGGGAGUAACACCUGGAAACAGGUGCUAAUACCGCAUAAGCGCACGAUGUCGCAUGACGUUGUGUGAAAAGACCCUGGCGGUAUACGAUGGACCCGCGUCUGAUUAGCUAGUUGGUGGGGCGAACGGCCUACCAAGGCGACGAUCAGUAGCCGGCCUGAGAGGGUGGACGGCCACAUUGGGACUGAGACACGGCCCAAACUCCUACGGGAGGCAGCAGUGGGGAAUAUUGCACAAUGGGGGAAAGCCUGAUGCAGCAACGCCGCGUGAGUGAAGAAGUAUUCGGUAUGUAAAGCUCUAUCAGCAGGGAAGAAAAUGACGGUACCCUGACUAAGAAGCCCCGGCUAACUACGUGCCAGCAGCCGCCGUAAC